rnacentral:lncRNA from 1 species
GCGAGCUGAAGGCUGGAUAAAGAUAAACUCAAACUAAAGAUGUACAAGCACAUUCUCAACUCUCACUGUUGAACGCUCUCAUGGCUCCUCCAAGUCCUACCUUAGGAUGAGAGGUCAGCUAAGUUCACAUGUAAAAACAGACUACCAGCUGAGGCAACCUCAGAGGAAGAGAAGGAUGGAUCCUUUCUCCCUUUUUUCUUCCUUCCUCUUUCCUCUGUCUCUCUUCUUCCCUCUCCCCUUCCUUCCUUCCCCAGUCUGUCCCUGCCUCGUUCUUUCUCUCCCUGCCUCCCUUCCUUUCCUCUUUGAGUCUUAGAGUGUGGUUCCUCAUGGCCAGCUCCGCACUCUGUUCAUCGGCAGCCUUUCUCCUGAAUCCCUGGUGUGUUUGCUCUGCCCAGAACGUGGUCUUGCACUUCUCUCACUUCCCCACAGCCCAGAGUAGCUCCGUGGCAAACCAAAAUUUCCGCCAGCCUGUCAGGAGGCUGACGCCAUUUAAUGAUAUUCAGGCCAUGGAGAAAAGAGCAGCUGCCCUGCAGGUGGGAUUCCAGAAAUGCUCCCCAGCGCCCAGCAGGAAGCUGGAAUUUCAGGAGUUCCCUGAAGCUGUCAAGACUGCAAGCCUGUGUCGCGCCAGGAAGACGCAGGAUCGCCAAUCUGUCCCUCUGAUAUUGCCCCUCGCAUGGAACUCUGAAAGCACCAUCCACGCUUAUUUAAAGGAAAGAAAACGAAUUCAGAGGCUUUCGUCCUGGGCCAAAGAAGUCCGUCCACAUUCUGCAAUUUUUUUCCUUUACUAAUUAGGAGCAGCCGCAAUUCAUUACAUAUGAGUGCAUUUAUAGAUUUUCAAUUUAUGUCUGCUUUCUGUUUCAGCAAAACAUCUACAACAAAAAACCUGUUAACCCAGAAAAGCCUUUAAUCCUAACUAUCAUGAGAGGGGAGAAUAUUUGGAGCAAUCUUUCAUAAUCGCUAUCAAAAUUUAUCCCGGGUUUUAUGACCACACCAUUGAUAAAUCACACUGACGUGCAGCUUCUUUACGACUGCUCUGUGCUUCCGUCUGUGGUUACACGUCUGUCA